UACGUAGGGGGCGAGCGUUGUCCGGAUUUAUUGGGCGUAAAGAGCUCGUAGGCGGUUUGGCAAGUCGGGUGUGAAAACUCCGGGCUCAACUCGGAGACGCCACUCGAUACUGCCAUGACUCGAGUCCGGUAGGGGAGUGCGGAAUUCCUGGUGUAGCGGUGAAAUGCGCAGAUAUCAGGAGGAACACCGGUGGCGAAGGCGGUUCUCUGGGCAUGUCCUGACGCUGAGGAGCGAAAGUGUGGGGAGCGAACAGG
rnacentral:rRNA from 1 species